AGUGAACGCUGGCGGUAGGCCUAACACAUGCAAGUCGAACGGCCGCACAGUAAGAGCUUGCUCUUACGGGUGGCGAGUGGCGGACGGGUGAGGAAUACAUCGGAAUCUACUUUUUCGUGGGGGAUAACGCAGGGAAACUUACGCUAAUACCGCAUACGACCUACGUGUGAAAGCAGGGGAUCUUCGGACCUUGUGCGUUUGAAUUAGCCGAUGUCGGAUUAGCUAGUUGGCGGGGUAAAGGCCCACCAGAGCGACGAUCCGUAUCUGGUCUGAGAUGAUGAUCAGCAACAGUGGAACUGAGACGCGGUCCAGACUCCGACGGGAGGCGGCAGUGCGGAAUAUCGGACAAUGGGCGGAAGUCGGAAACAGGGAGACCGCGUGGGUGAAGAGAGGCUGCGGGGUGUAGAGACGUUUUGAUGGGAUAGAAAAGCAACAGGUUUAUACCCCGCUGGUCUGACGGUACCCAAAGAAUAAGCGCCCGCUAACUUCGUG
rnacentral:rRNA from 1 species